rnacentral:rRNA from 1 species
UACAGAGGGGGCAAGCGUUGUUCGGAAUUACUGGGCGUAAAGGGUGCGUAGGUGGGUUGGUAAGUCAGUGGUGAAAUCUCCGUGCUUAACAUGGAAACUGCCAUUGAUACUACUGAUCUUGAAUUUUCUGGAGGUAAGCGGAAUAUGUCAUGUAGCGGUGAAAUGCUUAGAUAUGACAUAGAACACCAAUUGCGAAGGCAGCUUGCUACAGGGAUAUUGACACUGAGGCACGAAAGCGUGGGGAUCAAACAGG